AGCGAACGCUGGCGGCAGGCUUAACACAUGCAAGUCGAGCGGGCAUCUUCGGAUGUCAGCGGCAGACGGGUGAGUAACACGUGGGAACGUACCCUUCGGUUCGGAACAACUCUGGGAAACUGGAGCUAAUACCGGAUACGCCCUUAUGGGGAAAGGUUUACUGCCGAAGGAUCGGCCCGCGUCUGAUUAGCUAGUUGGUGGGGUAACGGCCUACCAAGGCGACGAUCAGUAGCUGGUCUGAGAGGAUGAUCAGCCACACUGGGACUGAGACACGGCCCAGACUCCUACGGGAGGCAGCAGUGGGGAAUAUUGGACAAUGGGCGCAAGCCUGAUCCAGCCAUGCCGCGUGAGUGAUGAAGGCCUUAGGGUUGUAAAGCUCUUUUGCCCGGGACGAUAAUGACGGUACCGGAAGAAUAAGCCCCGGCUAACUUCGUG
rnacentral:rRNA from 1 species